rnacentral:tRNA from 1 species
UUUUAUAAAGUAUACUAAGUACAUUUAAUUUCCAAUUAAAAAGUUAACUAUAUAUGUUAUAUAAAAA